UUUGAACAGGGCGGAGAGCAUUGUAAACGCCGUAUUUAGAAGGUCAGACUGUGGCUUUCUUCGCCAUAGACGCAAACUGCAGCAGGGAGGAUGGAUAGUGAAGCAAGUGACGCCAUUUUAGGGAGGGUAAGGUAAACACCAACGUCUUAACUGGUGAAGACAAAGUGAAUUAGUAGAGCCGAGUGCAGUGAUACACACCUGUAAUCCCAGCAUUUGGGAGGCUGAGGCAGGAAGAUCGCUGUGAGUUCGAAGCUAGGCUGGGCUGCAUAGUGAAGCCACCUCGAAUUACACAUGAAGCCUGCGUCUCAAAAAUAGAAUAGAAUAGAAUUUAGUAGACGUGGAAAAACAGAAAUAUUGGUUGGAGGCUUAUGCCAGGUAUUGUUGCGUUUCACACAUCAGUUAGUAAAUUCGUAAAAAAAAAGUCAUGUAGGAUGAGAAUUGUUGCAUUAACCUUAGUUGUUAGUUAAUAUUAAUAUAAUGCUUGUUUGGACCAUUUCACAUAUUUAAGCUUCCUGGAAUGUAGACUGAAGAAGCCAGCUUCCUGGGUUGGAAGCUGUGUGACCUUGGGCAAGUUCCUUAACCUCUCUCUGUCUCAGUUUCCAAAUGGGAGUAAAAUUAUGCUUACCUUAAAGAGUCUAAUGAGGAUUAAAUUAGCUAUUGUGCAAAAGUAUGGGUAUGAGACACAAACCCCUACAUUGUCUACCUUCUAACCCUUGGAAUCUGUGGAAAUAGGGAAUUUGCAGAGGUAUUAAAGACACUUAGUUGGAGAUACUAGUUUGCAUUUUUCAGGUGGCCCAAUGUCAUCAUAGGUUACAGGGUUCUGGGUUUCUGUAGACUCUUUCCCAGUCCUUGGUGUACUGAACAAAGAUGAGGUGCAUGAAAAGGGUAGUAAGCUUUACCUUUAUUAAAGGUAAGAAAAGAAAUACGAUCUGCAGUGUGAGAAUGGGCUACCGAGGUUCCACAGUGGCCAGGAGGUAAUGGAAAAAAUCUUCACAUCCUUUAUCCUUCAGGCCGAUGUCAGAUCAAGGCCAGUCUAUCAAAAGCCUGUUUUAUUUUGUGCUGAUAGAAUUGAAGACAGCACUUUCUGACUGGUCCCAGGUGCAGGAUUUGGGAACUAUGUUCUAGGCUGGAAUCCUGAGCUCUGUGACUGCUAGGCCACACACACUUGCUUAGCCACUUUGCCAUGUACUACCUAACCUGGCCUUCAGCUGUCUAACAGUUUUGAAGGAGGAAAGUGGGCCUGGGGCUGUGGAAUGCCAGACACCUCUAGAAGGUGGAGCAGACAGAGGGUUUUGCUGUGCACUUUGGGCUGGCUUUGAACUCACUUUGUAGCCCAGGCUGGUCUCAAACUUGCAGCAAUCCUCCUGCCUCAGCCUCCUGUGUGCGGGGAUUACACAGGUGCACCUCCACAUGGAUUAUUUUAUUUAAUGCUUACAAGGACCCCAGAGAUGAAGCUAUUAUCCUCCUGAUUCCAGAGGAGAAAAAUGAGGCCCAAGAGACCCCCAAGUCAUUUCCAUCGAGCAAGUGAGAGAGCCCAGAGGCGGAGUAUCACAGAGAUGCUGAAUUUACUAUUUGCAAGCUGUUUCCUUGUAGAGGAGCUUCAUCUGUGAAUGGGAGGACAAGAGAAAGAAGGAAGAAGUGAGGCGGAGAAGGCCAAUCAGUCGCUUGGAAACCAUGGACUUCGGUUUCCCGGCCCAGCUGGCUGUCAGCAGUGAAUCGAGUCAGCGCUGUGAUCCUGGGCAGCAAGAAAGAAAAGCAGCUUAGUUUGUGGCUGGCGCGGGAGACAGAGGUUAGCCUUCUCUGUCAGAUUCCAGUCAGAUCCGUAGCUGUCAUCUCCGUUUUAACUGCACACCCUUCUCAGACAGUCUCGCCUAAACAGCACCUGGCUGAUUGGGAGCGCCUGCCCAGGACGGGGUUACCAGGAGCAGGUUGGGGGGGCUCCUGCAUCUCCAUAACACACAGCAGGUCUGGAAAGCACAGGAAGCUCCUCUUGUACUGACCGGGCAGCUCUAGGCUUAUCCACGGCUUUGUUGCAUCCUGUUUCCUCACACUGUCCUCUGACAUGCGGGUCUGUCUGCCCUCAUCUUCCUCUGCCAGGUUGCCAGGACUGAGGCUGGAGCCCAGCAUGCCCCUGACCAGGGCACAUGUUCUGUUAGGGUGGCAUCUUUGAAACCUGGUCAUGGCCAGUGCUGUGUACAGACCUGGGCUUGCUCUGGAAAAAACAAAGUAGACGGGCACAACUUUCUCUGAAGAGAGUCCAGGUUUCCUGCACAGGAACCAGGGCUCAGGCCCAACCAUCCACUUUGUUGCCCUGAGCCUCGAUCCUCACAACCUACUGGGCACACAGCACCUGAGAGGACAGUGGACGAGGUUUGCAAGGUGCAGCGGUGCUGAGCUCGGUGCUUGCAGGAGAUGAGGCUCUGCUCAGUGGUGCCAGCCUUCUCCUGGCAGAAGGCGCAUGUGUGACAACAGUCUGUUGCAUACUCUGCAGUGUUUUGAAUGGCAGUUUGUGCUCACCCCUGAUGGGCGGCCUGGGAGUGAGGCUGGGGAUGGUGGGGGAUUAUCUUACUUUCCCUUGUCUCAGGGAUGUUAAUUACCCACCAGACUCUUAGGUGCUUUGAAUAAAGAAGGAGAAAGGAGGUUGAGACAGACAGGCACUCCUCCAUUUUUCACACCCUGUGGUGAUUUUCCGGCAGGAAGGUUCCUAAGGAUGGAUUGUGGCUGGACGCUGGCUGCAGCCACUGUGAUGCGCUCAUCGGGCUGAAGGGCUCAAUGUAGUCCUGGUGCCUUUGAGCUUGUAAGAGCCAUUUUUCUACACAUCCUGCUCCCUCCAACUAAACAUGUGUCUCCCCAGGCGCCAGCCCCCAGCCUCUUAACCUUUGUUCCAUCUCUGGCACUUGUAGUCUCCAGCAGUAAAUUACCCGGCAGGGGAUGAUGAAUGAGCUGAGCCAAAUGUAUGAAAAAAAAGAUCAGGCUGCAUCUAAGAAAAUGAGGCUGUAAGCAGAGCACAGGACAAGACAUAAAUAGUGAGACGCAACCUUGGAUGGCAGGAAGCUGACUUUUACUAGCAUCAGGCGCGGAAUCUGCUGCUGCUGGGGUCUUAUCCAAUUCCCCAGCAACUCCAGGGCAGGUGUUCUUAGUCUUCCUGUGUGUAGGGGAGGAAGCUAGAACACAGAGAGACUGAGUAACUUGGCCAAGGUCACACAGCUCAAGCGGUCCCAGGAUUGGACUGAACUGAGCAGUCCACACUACCUGCAGCUGUGUUAUGCAGCCCUUCAGCUCCCCUCAGGCAGCUGUUCCAGAAUACCUCUGCAGGAAGAGCUGAUCCUUAGGUCAUUGUGAGCCGAGACAACCCAGCAAGUGAAGGCCAGCCCUGUCAAGGGCCAGGCCAUGCUGAGCCUGCAGAGAGGGAGUCAAGAUGGGGAGUGUGACUUUUCCUGCUCCACCCCAAAGGGGAACCUGAGGCCACAGCUGGGGGAUACAGUGCUAAGGACCAGCAACCCAUAGACAAAGCCUGCUGGGAAGGCAGGGAGCCACCCCACUGUGAGGUGCUGGCACUAGGACAGUUCUCCAAACCCCCAUAGCAAGUGAGAGACUCCAGUGAGCCACAGAGACAUGAAGGAUCUGGCCAUGCUGGAGAGGUAUCGUCUGGGACCACAGGUGUGGGCUACCACGCCCAACUCCUGAAGGUGACUGCUUGAGUUGGCAGCGUUGGGGAAGCACAGAAACAACAGAAGAAAUCUGGAAACAAAUGAUCCAGAGCGGGUGGCUUUACAGGCAGAGAUGACCCAUCUCACACUUCCUGGCCGGAGCCCAAGAAGCAGGUGUCACAGGGCCCUGAGUCCCGCCUCCCUGGCUCCUCCAGCUCCCUUGGCUAGGGGCGAGUGCUCAGCUCUGCAUCUCUGUCAAAGGACACCAGUAACGGAUGGAGACAGGGUCUCCACACCAGGGUGACCUGGUAACUCACUACACUCCUAUGUUUCCAUCAUAGGUCAUUUUCUGGACUGAGCCUUACCAACUAGGCAUGAGGCUUUUGGGGAACAAAUGCCUACAGCAAACAAGAAGAGAGUUCUUGGAUACAAUUAAGGUCAUACUUCAAGAAACUAGGAAGGGGAAACCCUCAAGUCAGUAGGAAAAGAGAAAUAGUAAAGAUCAGAACAACGUAGCCGUUUUGACUCACAUGGAAACUGAAGCUGGGGGCAUCUGUGGCUGUGCCUGCAGCUGUGGGGAGCUGCUGACCUUGGGUGCCACCACCCACCCCUUCCAGAGGACAGGACUUGUGCCCCCCUUCUCUCCUCUCCCCACUGUGUCCCCCAUAUAAUGCUAGAAUAGUCAGGCUCAUCAGCAGCCGCCGUCUGGGUUGAGCAUCUCCUUGGGGACAGAGGCAAGAGCCCCACGAUCCUCCCACAGACACACACAGUCCCAGGGUCUGAGCUGCUUAUUGCAAAUGCCCCGAUGCCCACUUUAAUUUCCUGCCUGGUCUUGAUGGAUGCAGAUAGAGAGAGCUGGGGGAUGGUGCUGCUCACAAGAGUGAGCUCAGGACCUGCAAGGGAGAGGCAAGAAGAGGAAGGAAGGCUGUGGCUCUGGGGUCUGCACCCCAGUCUGAACCCUACCCAAGACUUCAUUCUCAGAGUGGCAGCACACGGGGAAGGGGCUGUCCUCCUGGUUUGCCUUAUGCACCUGUGAGUUCAUGUGUUCAGUGUGCACCCUGUAAACAUGGGCUCCCCUGCCAUGGGGGCCCCAUGGCAGCUGAGGACACCUGAGGGUUCCUAGGCCCAUUUCAUAGCUGUAGAGGAAUCCAAGGAUUGGGGAACCUGGUGCAGACCCAGGGAUGGGAUCUUGAGGUGGGGAUAUCAAGACAAGCAGACCUCUAUAGUAGGUGGCUGAGACCGCCUUGUCCCCAACUCAGAACUCAGGAGAGGGCAUGGACCCCACACAGGUUGGAGUCUCCAAGACACUGCACAGGGUCACGUGGACUUGAUCCCUAUGGUGGCCUCCAGUGUCCCCCACUCCUUCAUGAACUCCCUUUUUUUAGUACUGGGAAUCGAACUCAUGACCUCACGCUUGCCAGGCAGGCCACUGUGCUGCUGAGCUAUAUCCCUGGUGAGCUCCCAUUUUUGUUUGGGAUGUUAGGGUUCAACUGUGGACAUCCCCCAAAAGCUUGGCUAUUGGACAGCUGUGUCUGAGACAUGGCUUGGGGAAGGGUUAGGACCAUGCCGCUCCUCCGUGAAUGAAUCCAUUCUGGGAUUUCAUAGCUUUAGUUUAGUGGCUCUUGGGAGCCAAUGCAAGUGAGGGAAAGUGGGGUCCAGCCAGAGGAAGCAGGUCACUAGGGCUGACCCGGAAGGGGAUGGUGGGACCUCUCCUAGUCACUUUCUCAUCUCUAAGGUGCAGUGUCUGACCCUCGCAGCUCAAAGAGGAGAGGUUUAUUUGAGAGGUUGUAGAAGUUUCAGUCCAGGAUCCAUCAGCUGUGAGGCAGGGCAGCAUGGCCCAGGGGCGCGGCAGAGGAGAAGCCCCUUGUGGCAAGGUGUACAGGACCGGAAGUCAAGGGGGGGAGCAAGAGGGUGAUAAAUCCUUCUGGGUCACACUCUAGUGACCAGAUCUUGGCUCCUGAGAGAGAGUCAGCUGCAGUCCCAGGAUCCGACCACAUUCCAGAUGCCCCAAGCUGAGUGUGUGAGGCUCAGAGGACUCUAGACAUCAAUUGUAAGAGGCCCUCCCCAUCCCCCUGUCCACCUCUGCCUCUGCCUCUGCCUCUGCCUCUGUCUCUGCUUGCUGGCUCCCACACCCCUGCUGCCACUAGGUUCUACCCUGCCACAGGCCCAAAAGCAACUGAACCAAUCACAGACUGAAAUCUUGGGAACCGUGAGCCAAAAUAAAUUCUUCUUCCUUUCAA